AAAACUAGCCAGUCUUUUGGGUAUGAAACCCAUUUGGGCGAGAGUAGUACUAGGAUGGGUGACCUCCCGGGAAGUCCUCGUGAAAGGGUUUC
rnacentral:rRNA from 1 species